GAUGAACGCUGGCGGCGUGCCCAAUACAUGCAAGUCGAGCGAACGGACGAGAAGCUUGCUUCUCUGAUGUUAGCGGCGGACGGGUGAGUAACACGUGGAUAACCUACCUAUAAGACUGGGAUAACUUCGGGAAACCGGAGCUAAUACCGGAUAAUAUUUUGAACCGCAUGGUUCAAAAGUGAAAGACGGUCUUGCUGUCACUUAUAGAUGGAUCCGCGCUGCAUUAGCUAGUUGGUAAGGUAACGGCUUACCGAGGCAACGAUGCAUAGCCGACCUGAGAGGGUGAUCGGCCACACUGGAACUGAGACACGGUCCAGACUCCUACGGGAGGCAGCAGUAGGGAAUCUUCCGCAAUGGGCGAAAGCCUGACGGAGCAACGCCGCGUGAGUGAUGAAGGUCUUCGGAUCGUAAAACUCUGUUAUUAGGGAAGAACAUAUGUGUAAGUAACUGUGCACAUCUUGACGGUACCUAAUCAGAAAGCCACGGCUAACUACGUG
rnacentral:rRNA from 1 species